rnacentral:rRNA from 1 species
CAGCCGCCGCGGUAAUGCGUAGGGGGCAAGCGUUGUCCGGAAUCAUUGGGCGUAAAGAGCGUGUAGGCGGCUCGGUAAGUCCGCUGUGAAAGUCCAGGGCUCAACCCUGGAAUGCCGGUGGAAACUGUCGAGCUAGAGUCCGGAAGAGGCGAGUGGAAUUCCUGGUGUAGCGGUGAAAUGCGCAGAUAUCAGGAGGAACACCAAUGGCGAAGGCAGCUCGCUGGGACGGUACUGACGCUGAGACGCGAAAGCGUGGGGAGCAAACAGGAUUAGAUACCCCUGUAGUCCCUGUCUCUUAUAC